rnacentral:rRNA from 1 species
GAUGAACGCUGGCGGCGUGCCUAACACAUGCAAGUCGAGCGAGAAAUAAAGAAAUGACACUUCGGUUGAACUUCUUUAUGGAAAGCGGCGGACGGGUGAGUAACGCGUAGGCAACCUGCCCCGAACACAGGGAUAGCCUCGGGAAACCGGGAUUAAAACCUGAUGAAGCGAAAGAGUCACAUGGCUCCUUCGUCAAAGAUUUAUCGGUACGGGAUGGGCCUGCGUCUGAUUAGUUAGUUGGUGAGGUAACGGCUCACCAAGGCAACGAUCAGUAGCCGACCUGAGAGGGUGAUCGGCCACAUUGGAACUGAGACACGGUCCAGACUCCUACGGGAGGCAGCAGUGGGGAAUAUUGCACAAUGGGCGAAAGCCUGAUGCAGCAACGCCGCGUGAACGAAGAAGGCCUUUGGGUCGUAAAGUUCUGUCCUUGGGGAAGAAACAAAUGACGGUACCCUUGGAGGAAGCCCCGGCUAACUACGUGCCAGCCGCCGCGGUAACAC